GGCGUUUAACGCUUCUGUCUCCAGCUCUCCGCGCGCUUUACUUUGUUCCAUCACUCCUCAACACAACAGCCAGUCACUUAUCCAGCCCAAGCAAAGUUGGCCCAAGCCCACCUAGCCUAACCGCUCAGGAUUCUCAGCGCUGGUAGAUCUUUCGAUCUUCUAAUUGCUCUGCUCGUAUACUGUGAGUCUGGCCCACAAUCAAGCUCAGUCAAAGUCAGCUAUCAGCCCACCUGUCAGCCUUGCAGGUCCACUCCACUUGCACUGAGCCCGCUUAAGAGCGCAGCCCGGCCCACAUGAAGCCAUCCAUUUUCUGUACAGCCAGCUUUGCUCGCUUUUCAGUUGCUAUCUAAUCCAGAAGCCAAUCAAGCGGACCAGCCCACAUGUUCGAAUCAACCAGCUCAGCACAAGAGAGAUUACAUGAGGUUGAUUAUACAAUCAAAAAAUUACAAUGCUGCCGCAAGGGAUUGAACUCCUGACCUGUGCAAGUUUAGAAGAUGCCACACUCUACCAGCUAGG
rnacentral:lncRNA from 1 species